UGGGGAAUAUUGCACAAUGGGCGAAAGCCUGAUGCAGCGACGCCGCGUGAGGGAUGACGGCCUUCGGGUUGUAAACCUCUUUCAGUAGGGACGAAGCGCAAGUGACGGUACCUGCAGAAGAAGCACCGGCUAACUACGUGCCAGCAGCCGCGGUAAUACGUAGGGUGCGAGCGUUGUCCGGAAUUACUGGGCAUAAAGAGCUCGUAGGCGGUUUGUCACGUCGUCUGUGAAAUCCUAGGGCUUAACCCUGGACGUGCAGGCGAUACGGGCUGACUUGAGUACUACAGGGGAGACUGGAAUUUCUGGUGUAGCGGUGGAAUGCACAGAUAUCAGGAAGAACACCGAUGGCGAAGGCAGGUCUCUGGGUAGUAACUGACGCUGAGGAGCGAAAGCAUGGGUAGCGAACAGG
rnacentral:rRNA from 1 species